rnacentral:lncRNA from 1 species
CGGCGCGUGCGACGGCAAGAUCCACGCCGCCAACAAGCUGGCGUCGCGCCAUGGCCGCGUCUGGAUCUGCGAGGUGUGCGAGCAGGCCCCGGCCUCCUUCACCUGCAAGGCCGACGCCGCCUCCCUCUGCGCCGCCUGCGACCGCGACAUCCACUCCGCCAACCCCCUCGCCCGCCGCCACGAGCGCGUCCCCGUGGUCCCCUUCUACGACUCGGCCGCCAAGUCGUCGCCCUCCGCCGAGUGCUCCGAGGAGGAGGCGGAGGCCGCUUCCUGGCUCCUACCCGACCCGAACAGCAAGGUGGAGGAGGAAUCCGGGUCGCCCGAGUACAUGUCGGCCGAGUAC